UACGAAGGGGGCUAGCGUUGCUCGGAAUCACUGGGCGUAAAGGGUGCGUAGGCGGGUCUUUAAGUCAGGGGUGAAAUCCUGGAGCUCAACUCCAGAACUGCCUCUGAUACUGGGAAUCUCGAGUCCGGGAGAGGUGAGUGGAACUGCGAGUGUAGAGGUGAAAUUCGUAGAUAUUCGCAAGAACACCAGUGGCGAAGGCGGCUCACUGGCCCGGUACUGACGCUGAGGUGCGAAAGCGUGGGGAGCAAACAGG
rnacentral:rRNA from 1 species